rnacentral:miRNA from 1 species
UGGAAGCAUCUCUUUUUCUCUUG